ACCAGCUGAAUUGGACUUGUUUCCUGCUGUGGAAGUCAGAUGAAGAGGCUGAAAACUUGGGGCAGCUACUCACAAAGAACUCUUCCAAUUCAGGACACACGAUAUCAAAAGUAGCACUUUCAUAGUACAACAAUGGAAGUUCCACCAAAAGUAAUCGCUUCAAUUCUGGAAGGACGGUCUUCUUGUUGCUUGCUUCAACUAUCCUUUCCAACAAGGGGCAUCUCUCUAAUUCUAAGGAAUUCAACUGAGAAAGACACUGAGCAACAUCAGAGGUGAAGAGACUUCCCCGCAACUGCUUGCAACGAUGAAUGGACAAACUUCGAAGAUUCUGGAGCAUCGCAGGAGGAGCAGGUCCCUCACAUAUGCUUACUGUUGCUAGAUCAUACAAUUUUAUCUUUUUCAACUUUAAUUGUCGCAACACAAGCAAGGCUUCAUACCCAAACAUAAAUUCACUCCCGUCCGUCCGAUGAACAAUUAAUUUUUCCAAAUUUGGUAGUCUAUGUAACAAUGUUGAUGGUAAAAUCAUAUUCCACCAGUUGUAACAAUCUUUUACUUUCAAUACCUUUAACUUGAAUAGAGAUCCAGGUGGUAGAAAUUGAACGGCACACAACUCUGCACAAUCCAGUUCAGCCAGAUACAACUCUUCCAAAUUCUCGAACACAGGCUUUUUUGGAACCCAUGUUAUUGCAGGAUCCACCUCCGUGAUGUCUUGAUCGUAGGAACCCACUAUAUGCAGAUGCUUCAGUCUCUGUAACCUCCCAUUCUCAGAUUCCACAAAUAUGUCGAUUAACCUUUGGCACCAAGAGUGGUAAAGCGUCUCCGCAUUCUCUAUUAUCUCGUCACGAAACCACUCCGGUAAGUGACUGAUCAUGACAAACAAGAGUAUUGAGAUAUGACGAUGUCGAUCAUAUAACUUCGUCUUGUAUGGCUCGUAUAAACCAGGCUCAUAUGAACCACCAAUACAUAUAUCAAACUCAACCAAAUUCAUUUUCAACUCAACAUAUUUAGGGAUAUAUUCAUCACCCAUGAUAGUAACCUUCAAAACUCUUAAUUUUGACAAGCUAGUUACCUCGUCAAAGCUAGCAUUAGUAAAGGUAUCAUUGACUUCCCCUCGUCUGUAAGGCCACAAGCGUUCCCACUCCCAAAAUCCUUGCAUAUACAGUUCUUCUAAAUCAUGCAACUUUGAUAUCAGUUUGGAAGGAAUUCUAGAAAUAUGUUCACCAGUAAUAUCCAACAUCCUCAGAUUGGUCAAACCUCCUAUUUCUACCGACAACUCAUACAGACGUGAAUUUCUCAUACUCAGAAUCUCAAGCUUUUUAAGUUUUCCCAGUAUGGAAGUGUCAAUUCUUAGAUGGGUACAAUCAUCUAAAUACAAAGCUGUGAGGUUGGUUAGGACACCGAAUGAUUUGGGCAGUAAUGAAAGGCUAGUCAAGCUAAGAUCUAAUACCCUUAAUUCAUUUGGACAUUGGAAGAAUGUUUCUGGUAUGUUUUCUAAAGAGAAAUUACGGUUUAGUAACAAGAUCUGGAGUUUUGGACAUACCAGAUUUUUGGGAAGCUUGCUAAUAUAAUUCCUCAUUAGUGAGAUUGCAAGGUAGCCUUUAUGUAAUUUACGUGGCAAAUCCUCUAAACCACAGCCGGCUUUCACAAAAAACUCAUCUUCAGAUUGCACAAUUUGAAUGGCUGCAUCCCGGACAACAUCAUGCAUCCUUACACAUCUAUCUUCUUCACUAUCCAAAAGCAAGCAAGAAUAUUUAAGAUGCUUGAUAACGGAAUCAGCUUGCUCUCUUGCCUCCAUGAGUGUUUCGGCAUCUCGAAACAAUCUUGUCCUGAUCCCAUACCUGAACAAGUCUUCUAUAGGGAUGUCAUAGUCUUCUGGGAAUAAGCAACAGAGCAAGAAGUAUGACCUGUAGUCCUCAUCUUCCAAGUAAUCAUAGCUUAAUUUUAUACAUUUAGAUGCUUCUCCCUUAUCAUCAGGGUUGGCAGUUUGCGACUUCUCUAGUCGCUGAGCUGCUCUCCUCCAAUCCACCAAGUCUUUGUCUCCGAGUGCCCUUGCAACUGUUAUCAAUGCAAUCGGUAAGCCCCUACAUUCUCCGGCUACCUUCUUUGCCACACCCUCGAAAGUGGGGGAUUCAAAAUACCUUCUUGCUUUUCUCACAAACAAGACCCAAGAAUCUUGUUCUGAGAGAACGUUGAGGAUGAUCUUUCUUUGGCACUCCAUGGCAUGACAAACAUUCCUUAUCCUUGUGGUGAGUAGGAUUUUGGAAUUGCAAUUUUGAAGUUCCUUGUAGCUUGGAAUUCCUAUUCUUGAUAAUUCUGUUCUCUCCCAAAUGUCGUCCAGGAUUAUAAGAAUCCUUUGUCUUCUCCUUAUCUCCUUACUCAAUCUAGCUGCUCUUCCAAUUUCUGUAUCCUCCUCAAAUUUGAAGCUCAAUAGUUCUGACAAUGUGCCUUGAAUUUUUGCCAAGUCAGGCGUUUGGGAUAGGACACCCAUAAUCACAUGAUCAAAAAUUCCACUUUUCCGGGCAUGUGCGCCAACAUGUUCCACCAAGGUUGUCUUGCCCACACCUCCCAUGCCGUAGACACCAACAGCAGUGACCUCGUCAUCUUUAAGGGCCUUCAUAACCUCAUCCAUGGCUAUUCUUGUUGCUUCAAAUGCUUGGAAAUCUCUAGUGGACUCAAUUGCAUCAGGUACAAUUUUACUGCUGAGAAGUUUCACAAUGGCUUCGGUAAGUGCUCUCUCAGUUCUACAAGGAUGAAUUACGGAUUAGAAUUUAGAAAUAAUCUUUGGGUAAAAUAUAUAUCUGAAAUUAAAGGGGCAAUGCUUACUUAUGAUCAGUUGUAUUCCACCCAGAGAUAUUGGCUACUUUGUUCAAGGCAGCUUUCCACUCCUUCACCUUUUCCAUUCUGUGCUGCCCAGAGGUUUCAUGCUUAUAGAAAGCUUCUUUGAAACUUCCCUUCUUCUGAUAUCGAACAUCAGUAGGAUCAACAUGAUAAAAAAGUGGCAAAAUUCUGUUGUCUUCCAUGGACAGACAAAUCUCUCUAAGUUCCUCCAAACACCAAGCAGAAGAAGCGUAAUUUUGGGAGAGAACAACAAUUGCAUACCUUGACCCUUUAAUUGCUGCUAUGAGAGUGGGAGAAAUGGAAUCUCCGACUACAAGAUCUGGAUCAUCCAUGAAUGCUUUAAUGCCUCCCCGAUUGAGUCCAUCGUAUAUGUCGACUGUGAUCCCCUUGCGAGUGUCAGAACCCCUGAAACUCAAAAAAACAUCAUACUUCCAUUCAACAGGUGAUGAUGAAGAAGGAAGAGAUGCAGAAGCAUCCAUGUCCACCAAUACUUGAUUAUCCUGGGAAUUUUCGACCAUGUAACUGAACCGACGCUUCACUUGAGUCCAUAUCCACUUAAUAAUGGCUAUGCAACCGAUCCUCGCCUCCGCCAUGGCUUCGAAUUCUGGAAAACAGUAUGAAAUUAAGAACCUUCCUUGAGACAGCAACAAGGGGAAAGAACAAGGUCUCUCAGAGUACAGGCAGGGAAAAGGAAACCGCAAAAGCCAUAUGAAAAACCAAUGAAACGGAUGAACUGAAGACAAAAUGGAAUCUGAAGUAUGAACUGAACAUCAUGAAGUCAGUCUGAUAGAGUUUAGACGUCUAACUAGUGAGCUGUGGUGGUUAUUUGACAACCAGAGUGCUUGGCAAUUGGCAUGGGCCCUUUUACUUCUCAAGUCCGACCCGGAUGGCGCAAUUCUUAACCCGACCCGGACCCAAGAAACAGGGCAAAACAGAGAAGCGCCACUACCGCAGCUGAGACAGAAACAGAGAAUGGCCACCACAGCUAUCAACUUGGGCCUCGUAAAGCCUUCACCUUUCUCUGUUCCCAAGUCACAAUCCCCUUCAAAGCUCAGGGUUUUCACUCUCCGGUGCUCCUCCGCCACCGCCAAUGCCGUCUCAGGUAUACCCACUUUUGGUACUCUGCUUUUAUUGGUCUAUCUAGCACUCGUAAAGAUUCAAUUUUUAUAUGAUGGUGGUUUCCAAUUUACUGUGAGGUUAAUUUAUUGGUGAUUAGAGUGACGAGAAAACCGAUUGGCUGCCAUGCAAAAUUGAUGUUGGUUUUGUUUUUUUUGGGCUCAGUGCCUUCUUAUUUAUUCAGCUGCAGUCUUAUAUUCUCAUGUAUAUAUCCUGCAGUGUUAUAUUUACAAUAAGACUUACAGAUGUCUGAAGAAGAAGAAACUGUUUGUAACAAUUUUGAGAAUAGUACUUUAACAUCUUUCUCGCGUCACAGUCUGUAGCCAUACACUUGCAAAGUUACUUAUCCAUUGUAUCGUAAUUGAGUUUGUUUCAAUCAAUAUGGUUCAUACAUUUUUGUGUUAUGGAGUUCAGUUUUUGAUUAAUCUACAUCACAAAAAGAUCACAUAAGAUUUGGCAUCUUUAUUUUGAUCAUCUUCAUGUAAAUGGAAUUGUUUUUCUUUCAAGGAUGAAUUUGAAAAGCAGUCUUUCAUAGUUUCCAUAGAAAGACUCAUUGUAUUCAUCUUCAUCCUUCAUAGCAUCCUCGAUAGUUUCUUUUGACUUACAAGCUUGGUUUUUAGUCACAUCCCUUUUCAUUACCAACUUCUGUGCUUAUCUGUUUUAACCAGAUAGUAGGAAUGGUAUAUGUUUUUGGGUUUUGGCCAUAUAUGCCUUCACCUCAUGCCUAACCUCACUGCUCUUCUCCCCUUGCACACAAACUUCAACCUGCUCCUCCAUGUACUUGGGCAUUCUGAGACCUUACAAUCUUCGGGAGAACUUACAAUCUCAAACAACUAUGCGAAUAAGUAAAUGCAUAUUAUGAACGCUCAUAUCAAAAUCGAGAAAUUUACACUAGGAAUAUCAAUUACAUCUGUUUUUUCUUGUUAUCAAAUCAACAAUGGAUAAAGAUGCACGUCUGAAAGAUGCAGAGCCACGAAGAAGAUACAAAGAGACAAUGAAAAGUUAUAAAUUUAUUAUCCACAAGAGUGUUAUACAACUUCACAAUCAAAUGCGGGAUAUUCUUCUGGGCCACGGAAGGUCUCUAUGCGUUUUAUUGAUUGCAAUUAGUCCCCUUAGACUAAUCCGCGCCGAGAGAUCUUGUCAGAACGCUUCCUCGCCUCUGGCCACCAAGAAUAAAUUGGGAUUUAACUCUAAUUAGCUUCAGCUGGAAUUUGAAUGUUUCCACACCUAGGCUCUUAUCAACUCGGCCUCCUGUGGUGAUUAAUCAAUUCAAGAUAUAUAUAUAAGUAUAUAAGACGGAAAUGCAAUGCAUAUCCAAAGUCUCAAAUUCUUGUUAACAAGACAUCCUUCAAUCUAUUUGGAAAAGGAAACAAAUUAGCUGGGAGCAGAAAUCUAUAAGUAAAGGUAAACUAUAAUGCAACAGCAAAGGAAAUAACUUAAAAUACAAUAUAAAUUGCUUAAUAUACAGUGUGGUGCAAAUCAGAAGAACCCUGUGCUCAAAUUUUCUUCAAACUGUAUCUAACUUUUUUUUCAUUUAAUUUGUAGUUUGUUAAGGAGAGAUAUUAAACGCAUUUUGUGCUCAAAACAUUUAACAUUUUGUAUUUGUUUACUGUUUAUUGGGUGAGCAAUCGGACUACCACAUUAAUUCAUACGAAAAAUCACGUAAAGUAUUUGACACACUAACAUACCAUAUGAAUUGGACUUGUUUCCUGCUGUGGAAGUCAGAUGAAGAGGCUGAAAACUUGGGGCAGCUACUCACAAAGAACUCUUCCAAUUCAGGACACACAAUAUCAAAAGUAUCACUUUCAUAGUACAACAUUGGAAGUACCUCCAAAUGUAAUCGCUUCAAUUUUGGAAGGACGGUCUUCUUGUUGCUUGCUUCAACUAUCCUUUCCAACAGAGGGCAAUUCUUGAAUUUUAAGGAAUUCAGUUGGGAAAGACACUGAGCAACAUCAUAGGUGAAGAGACUUCCAUCUGACUUGCACCACUCUAUGGACAAACUUUGAAGAUUCUGGAACAUUGCAGGUGGGAGUCGAGAAGGUCCAUCACAUAUGCUAACUGUGGACAAUGCUAUCUUUCUCAGUCUCCAUUGUUCCCAUGGAAACCAACAACCCUUCAGAGACAUGUUCUCCAAUGAAGGACACUCAAUAUCAAAAGUAGCACUUUUGUAUAACAUUGGAAGUUCCGUCAAACUUAAUUGCUCCAACUUUGGAAGGAUUAUCUUCUUGUUGCUUGCUUCAACUAUCCUUUCCAACAAGGGGCAUACUGCUAAUUCUAAGGAAUUCAACUGAAAAAGACACUGAGCAACAUCAGAGGUGAAGAGACUUCCCUCCAACUUGCAUUUGGUAAUGGACAAACUUUGAAGAUUCUGGAGCAUCGCAGGCGGAGCAGGUCCCUCACAUAUGCUUACUGUUGCUAGAGCAAACAAUUCUAUCUUUUUCAACUUUAAUUGUUGCAACACAAGCAAGGCUUCAUACCCAAACAUAUAUUCACUCCCGUCCGUCUGACAAACAAUUAAUACUUCCAAAUUUGGUAGUCUAUGUAACAAUGUUGACGGUAAAAGUAUAUUCCACCAGUUGUAACAAUAUUCUACCUUCAAUACCUUCAACUUGAAUAGAGACCCACAUGGUAGAAAUUGAACGGCACGUAACUCUGCACAAUCCAGUCCCUCCAUAUACAACUCUUCCAAAUUCUCGAACACAGGCUUUCUUGGAACCCAUGUUAUUGCAGGAUCCACCUCCGUGAUGUCUCGACUGCUGUAACCCACUAUAUGCAGAUGCUUCAGUCUCUGUAGCCUCCCAUGCUCAGAUUCCACAAAUAUGUCGAUUAACCUGUGGCACCAAGAGUCGGAAAAUGUCUCUGCUUUCUUCAUUAUCUCGUCACGAAACCACUCCGGUAAGUGACUGAUCAUGACAUCCAAGAGUAUUGAGAUAUGACGAUGUCGAUCAUAUAACUUCGUCUUGUAUGGCUCGUAUAAACCACCGAUACAUAUAUCAAACUCAACCAAAUUCAUUUUCUGCUCAACAUAUUUAGGGAUAUGUUCAACACCCCUGAUAGUAACCUUCAAAACUCUUAAUUUUGACAAGCUAGUUACCUCGUCAAAGCUAGCAUUAGUAAAGGUAUCAUUGACUUCUCCUUCUUCUCCCUCAGCGUUAAGCUCCAAGCACUCCCACUCCCAAAAUCCUUGCAUAGUUACCUCGUCAAAGCUAGCAUUAGUAAAGGUAUCAUUAACUUCUCC
rnacentral:lncRNA from 1 species